ACUCCUUUGAAGCAGAAAUGGACAAGCACAGCACCGGUUCUUCCAGGGGCUCAACUCAGUGGUGUGAGGUGGCUAUGUAUGAUUACUUGGAUUACUUCGAGCGAGUGGAGACCAAAGGAAGUAAAUAAAAUCUCCUCCAAUGCAUUCCUGCUCGUCAUUUUGUAAAUAAUGUGCAUUUCUUUAUCUGAAUUAUAUAAGUCAUGUUAUGUAUGUAAAUAUUACAUAUUUUCAUAUUAAACCAUGUCUUCUCCAUCA